GACGUAGGGGGCAAGCGUUAUCCGGAUUCACUGGGCGUAAAGGGCGCGUAGGCGGUUACGUAAGUCCGGCGUGAAAUCUCACGGCUCAACCGUGGAAUGUCGUCGGAUACUGCGUUGACUAGAGGGCGGUAGAGGUACCUGGAACUAGCGGUGUAGCGGUGAAAUGCGCAGAUAUCGCUAGGAACGCCGGUGGCGAAGGCGAGGUACUGGGCCGUUCCUGACGCUGAGGCGCGAAAGCUAGGGGAGCGAACCGGAUUAGAAACCCUAGUAGUCC
rnacentral:rRNA from 1 species